UUUAAAAUGAUUAUUUUAAAAAAUUAAAAAAAAUAUUUUUAAUUUUUAUUAGUAUUUUAUGAAAAAAUUAUUUAAAUUAUAGUUUAUUAGUAUAGUGAUAGAAUUUUAAUUAAAAUAUUAUUAGAAAAAUUAAUUUUUUGUACCUUGUGUAUCAGGGUUUAUUAAUUAAAUUUUACUUAUAAAGUAAAUUUCUCGAUUUUAAAAGAGUUAAUUGGUUAUGUAUUUUAUUGUAGAAUAAAUAUUUAAAAUAAACAAUUAGUAAUGAAACGUUAUUCGUUUUUAAAUAUAUCUAGUUUUUAAAGAAAAAAAUUUAAUUUUAUAUACAUAAAUAUUUUACUUUUUUUAUAAAUGAAAAUUUUAUGUAAAUUAUAGUAUUUGGGAUAAGCUAAAUAUUAGAAUUUUAUAAGUAUUAAUAAAUUAUGAAAAAUGUAGAAUUAGAAAUUUUCAUCAUUUAGUUUGUUAUAAUUAAUUAAUUUUUGUAAAUAAAGAUUUAUAUUUACUUUAAAUAUUUUAUUUAAAUAUUAAAUUUAAUAAUAAAUUUAAGAAAUUAUGAUAAAAUUAGUAUAAAUUUAUGUAAAAAUUAGUUAAAGUUUUUAUGUUAUAAAAAGGAAUUCGGCAAAAAUAUUUUUCGCCUGUUUAUUAAAAACAUGUCUUUUUGAUUUUAAUUUAAAGUCUAGCCUGCCCAAUGAGUAGUUGAAUGGCCGCAGUAUUUUGACUGUGCAAAGGUAGCAUAAUCAUUAGUUUCUUAAUUAGAAACUGGAAUGAAAGGUUGGACGAGAAAAUAUCUGUCUCUUUAUAAAUUUUUUAGAAUUUUAUUUUUAAGUUAAAAAGCUUAAAUUUGUUUAAAAGACGAGAAGACCCUAUAGAGUUUUAUAUAAUUAUAUUUAGUAGUUAGGGUUGAAUUAUUAAAAUUUUAUUUAUAAUUAUAUUUAAUUGGGGUGAUUAAAAAAUUUAUAAAACUUUUUUUAAAAAUAAACAUUGAUUUAUGAAUAUUUGAUCCAUUUUUUAUGAUUAAAAGAUUAAAUUACCUUAGGGAUAACAGCGUAAUUUCUUUUUAGAGUUCUAAUCGAUAAAGAAGUUUGCGACCUCGAUGUUGGAUUAAAAUUAAUUUUUGGUGUAGCUGCUAAAACAUUAGGUCUGUUCGACCUUUAAAAUUUUACAUGAUCUGAGUUUAAACCGGUGUGAGCCAGGUUGGUUUCUAUCUUUAAAAAAUUAAAAUAUUUUAGUACGAAAGGACCAAAUAUU
rnacentral:rRNA from 1 species